rnacentral:rRNA from 1 species
UUUAUGGAGAGUUUGAUCCUGGCUCAGGAUGAACGCUGGCGGCGUGCCUAAUACAUGCAAGUCGAGCGAACAGAUAAGGAGCUUGCUCCUUUGACGUUAGCGGCGGACGGGUGAGUAACACGUGGGUAACCUACCUAUAAGACUGGAAUAACUCCGGGAAACCGGGGCUAAUGCCGGAUAACAUGUUGAACCGCAUGGUUCUACAGUGAAAGACGGUCUUGCUGUCACUUAUAGAUGGACCCGCGCCGUAUUAGCUAGUUGGUGGGGUAACGGCCUACCAAGGCGACGAUACGUAGCCGACCUGAGAGGGUGAUCGGCCACACUGGAACUGAGACACGGUCCAGACUCCUACGGGAGGCAGCAGUAGGGAAUCUUCCGCAAUGGGCGAAAGCCUGACGGAGCAACGCCGCGUGAGUGAUGAAGGUCUUCGGAUCGUAAAGCUCUGUUGUUAGGGAAGAACAAAUGUGUAAGUAACUGUGCACAUCUUGACGGUACCUAACCAGAAAGCCACGGCUAACUACGUGCCAGCAGCCGCGGUAAUACGUAGGUGGCAAGCGUUAUCCGGAAUUAU